GGCCGCCUGGUGUAAUGGCAACGUGUUUGACUUCGAUCAUCUUCCGUCCAAUAUUAUUGCUGGCACCAAUAUCAAAAGAUUACAGGUUCGGAUCCUUGUGGUGGUCG